rnacentral:rRNA from 1 species
UACGGAGGGGGCUAGCGUUGUUCGGAAUCAUUGGGCGUAAAGGGCGCGUAGGCGGCCGAUCAAGUCGGAGGUGAAAUCCCUCGGCUCAACUGAGGAAUUGCCUUCGAUACUGUUCGGCUUGAGUCCUGGAGAGGGUAGCGGAAUUCCCGGUGUAGCGGUGAAAUGCGUAGAGACCGGGAAGAACACCAGUGGCGAAGGCGGCUACCUGGACAGGUACUGACGCUGAAGCGCGAAAGCUAGGGGAGCAAAACAGG